rnacentral:rRNA from 3 species
AAAUUGAAGAGUUUGAUCAUGGCUCAGAUUGAACGCUGGCGGCAGGCCUAACACAUGCAAGUCGAGCGGUAGCACAGAGAGCUUGCUCUCGGGUGACGAGCGGCGGACGGGUGAGUAAUGUCUGGGAAACUGCCUGAUGGAGGGGGAUAACUACUGGAAACGGUAGCUAAUACCGCAUAAUGUCGCAAGACCAAAGUGGGGGACCUUCGGGCCUCAUGCCAUCAGAUGUGCCCAGAUGGGAUUAGCUAGUAGGUGGGGUAACGGCUCACCUAGGCGACGAUCCCUAGCUGGUCUGAGAGGAUGACCAGCCACACUGGAACUGAGACACGGUCCAGACUCCUACGGGAGGCAGCAGUGGGGAAUAUUGCACAAUGGGCGCAAGCCUGAUGCAGCCAUGCCGCGUGUGUGAAGAAGGCCUUCGGGUUGUAAAGCACUUUCAGCGGGGAGGAAGGCGAUAAGGUUAAUAACCUUGUCGAUUGACGUUACCCGCAGAAGAAGCACCGGCUAACUCCGUGCCAGCAGCCGCGGUAAUACGGAGGGUGCAAGCGUUAAUCGGAAUUACUGGGCGUAAAGCGCACGCAGGCGGUCUGUCAAGUCGGAUGUGAAAUCCCCGGGCUCAACCUGGGAACUGCAUUCGAAACUGGCAGGCUAGAGUCUUGUAGAGGGGGGUAGAAUUCCAGGUGUAGCGGUGAAAUGCGUAGAGAUCUGGAGGAAUACCGGUGGCGAAGGCGGCCCCCUGGACAAAGACUGACGCUCAGGUGCGAAAGCGUGGGGAGCAAACAGGAUUAGAUACCCUGGUAGUCCACGCCGUAAACGAUGUCGAUUUGGAGGUUGUGCCCUUGAGGCGUGGCUUCCGGAGCUAACGCGUUAAAUCGACCGCCUGGGGAGUACGGCCGCAAGGUUAAAACUCAAAUGAAUUGACGGGGGCCCGCACAAGCGGUGGAGCAUGUGGUUUAAUUCGAUGCAACGCGAAGAACCUUACCUGGUCUUGACAUCCACAGAACUUAGCAGAGAUGCUUUGGUGCCUUCGGGAACUGUGAGACAGGUGCUGCAUGGCUGUCGUCAGCUCGUGUUGUGAAAUGUUGGGUUAAGUCCCGCAACGAGCGCAACCCUUAUCCUUUGUUGCCAGCGGUUAGGCCGGGAACUCAAAGGAGACUGCCAGUGAUAAACUGGAGGAAGGUGGGGAUGACGUCAAGUCAUCAUGGCCCUUACGACCAGGGCUACACACGUGCUACAAUGGCAUAUACAAAGAGAAGCGACCUCGCGAGAGCAAGCGGACCUCAUAAAGUAUGUCGUAGUCCGGAUUGGAGUCUGCAACUCGACUCCAUGAAGUCGGAAUCGCUAGUAAUCGUAGAUCAGAAUGCUACGGUGAAUACGUUCCCGGGCCUUGUACACACCGCCCGUCACACCAUGGGAGUGGGUUGCAAAAGAAGUAGGUAGCUUAACCUUCGGGAGGGCGCUUACCACUUUGUGAUUCAUGACUGGGGUGAAGUCGUAACAAGGUAACCGUAGGGGAACCUGCGGUUGGAUCACCUCCUUACCUUAAAGAA